rnacentral:rRNA from 1 species
CCCGCCCGCUGGCGGCAUGCCUAACACAUGCAAGUCGAACGAGACCUUCGGGUCUAGUGGCGCACGGGUGCGUAACGCGUGGGAACCUGCCCUUAGGUUCGGAAUAACUCCCCGAAAGGGGUGCUAAUACCGGAUAAUGUCUCCGGACCAAAGAUUUAUCGCCUUUGGAUGGGCCCGCGUUGGAUUAGCUAGUUGGUAGGGUAAAAGCCUACCAAGGCGACGAUCCAUAGCUGGUCUGAGAGGAUGAUCAGCCACACUGGGACUGAGACACGGCCCAGACUCCUACGGGAGGCAGCAGUGGGGAAUAGUGGACAAUGGGCGAAAGCCUGAUUCAGCAAUGCCGCGUGAGUGAUGAAGGCCUUAGGGUUGUAAAGCUCUUUUACCCGGGAUGAUAAUGACAGUACCGGGAGAAUAAGCUCCGGCUAACUCCGUG